UACGGAGGAUGCGAGCGUUAUCCGGAUUUAUUGGGUUUAAAGGGUGCGUAGGCGGGCUUUUAAGUCAGCGGUAAAAAUUCGGGGCUCAACCCCGUCCGGCCGUUGAAACUGGGGGCCUUGAGUGGGCGAGAAGAAGGCGGAAUGCGUGGUGUAGCGGUGAAAUGCAUAGAUAUCACGCAGAACUCCGAUUGCGAAGGCAGCGUACCGGCAUCCAACUGACGCUGAGGCACGAAAGCGUGGGGAUCAAACAGG
rnacentral:rRNA from 1 species